UACGUAGGUGGCAAGCGUUGUCCGGAUUUACUGGGCGUAAAGAGCGCGCAGGCGGUCGUUCAAGUCGAGUGUGAAAGCCCCCGGCUCAACUGGGGAGGGUCACUCGAUACUGAUCGACUCGAAGGCAGAAGAGGGAAGCGGAAUUCCCGGUGUAGUGGUGAAAUGCGUAGAUAUCGGGGAGGGACACCAGUGGCGAAGGCGGCUUUCUGGUCUGCUCUUGACGCUGAGGCGCGAAAGCUAGGGUAGCAAACGGG
rnacentral:rRNA from 1 species